AUUGAACGCUGGCGGAAUGCUUUACACAUGCAAGUCGAACGGCAGCACGGACUUCGGUCUGGUGGCGAGUGGCGAACGGGUGAGUAAUGUAUCGGAACGUGCCCAGUCGUGGGGGAUAACGUAGUGAAAAUUACGCUAAUACCGCAUACGAUCUAUGGAUGAAAGCGGGGGAUCGCAAGACCUCGCGCGGUUGGAGCGGCCGAUAUCAGAUUAGGUAGUUGGUGGGGUCAAGGCCCACCAAGCCAACGAUCUGUAGCUGGUCUGAGAGGACGACCAGCCACACUGGAACUGAGACACGGUCCAGACUCCUACGGGAGGCAGCAGUGGGGAAUUUUGGACAAUGGGCGAAAGCCUGAUCCAGCCAUUCCGCGUGCAGGAUGAAGGCCCUCGGGUUGUAAACUGCUUUUGUACAGAACGAAAAGGUUUCUACUAAUACCAGGAGCUCAUGACGGUACUGUAAGAAUAAGCACCGGCUAACUACGUGCCAGCCGCCGCAGUAA
rnacentral:rRNA from 1 species